UACGUAGGGGGCAAGCGUUGUCCGGAUUUAUUGGGCGUAAAGAGCGUGUAGGCGGCUAGAUAGGUCCGUUGUGAAAACUCGAGGCUCAACCUCGAGACGUCGAUGGAAACCAUCUGGCUAGAGUCCGGAAGAGGAGAGUGGAAUUCCUGGUGUAGCGGUGAAAUGCGCAGAUAUCAGGAGGAACACCCGGUGGCGAAGGCGGGUCU
rnacentral:rRNA from 1 species